AUUAAAUCUAUGAUGAGAAGAAGUAAGUGAUUAACUCAUACAGAGAGAGGAGCCUAGGCUGUAAGCUUCUUUGAGCAAUAAUUACCAAAAAACACCUCGGAGAGUUGGUAAAAACAAACGUAACUCGCGUUAAGAGAAAAAGAAUUCAUAGUAAUUGUGCGUUGUGCACUGUAAACUGUGAAUUAAAGCAGGGUGGCACCACGAGUAGAAGACUCGUCCCAUGA
rnacentral:ncRNA from 1 species